rnacentral:rRNA from 1 species
UACAGAGGUCUCGAGCGUUAGGCGGAAUCACUGGGCUUAAAGCGUGUGUAGGUGGAUGCCUAAGUACCUUGUGAAGUCCCACGGCUUAACCGUGGAACUGCUUGGUAUACUGGGUGUCUUGAGUCACUCAGGGGCGAGCGGAACAAAUGGUGGAGCGGUGAAAUGCGUAGAUAUCAUUUGGAACGCCAAUGGUGAAAACAGCUCGCUGGGGGUGCACUGACACUGAGACACGAAAGCCAGGGGAGCGAACGGG